GUUCUUCAGUGUGUAUUUAAGUCGUGUCAACUCGUGUGCUGAUCGUUGGUCCGUCUGUGUAUCAACCGUGUGUUCUCCUUGCUGUCAACCUUCAUGUGCCUUCAAGUUCAGUGAAAUCAACUAAAAUGAAAUAAUGAGUCUAAUAGAGGCAUGUUGACAUUUUGGGAAUCAGUAGGCUAAAUCAAUAGGUUAAACUCCUAAGAUCCACUGGACCUUGAUUCUCACAAAAACAUGGUAAUUCAGUGCCACUAAAGAUCCUUUCAUUUGCCGGUUUUACCCGAGAUCUCAGCACAGUCCCCAUAUCCAGCACUAUUCAGCUCCCCGCUACCACAGAAUCCAUCAUCUGCCAGGAGUCUGUUCCUUGUCUUGACAUGUGCAGCGAGUGGUCAAGGUCACGAUGAUGCCGAGGCACCUGGCUCUCUUCCUCCUCCUCUUCUCCUGCUCUUCGGGAACUCACAGAUGAAAAACAUGGUGGCUUCACACUCCACGUGAGCCCACGUUCCAGUGCUGAGCAGCUCCACGCAGCUGGAGUUUGUGUUGGGCUGUAGCUCCUCCUCUUGGCUCCAAGAUGCAAAACCCUGCAGAGGGGUGGAGUCUGCAUAAACAUGACUGCUCCCGUCCUGAUUUUAGAAAAUAGAGAACAAAUUAAAAAAAAGAGUUUCUCAUCAUCAGUUAA